rnacentral:rRNA from 1 species
CGAACGCUGGCGGCGUGCUUAACACAUGCAAGUCGAACGCGAAAGGGACUUCGGUCCUGAGUAAAGUGGCGCACGGGUGAGUAACGCGUAGAUAACCUGUCUUUAUGUCUGGAAUAAUACGCCAAAGGGGUACUAAUACCGGAUAUUUUUUGCAUUGCAUAAGCAGUGUAAGCAAAGGUGGCCUCUGACAUAAGCUACUGCAUAAAGAGGGGUCUGCGUACCAUUAGCUAGUAGGUGGGGUAAAGGCCUACCUAGGCUACGAUGGUUAGCGGGUCUGAGAGGAUGAUCCGCCACACUGGCACUGGAACACGGGCCAGACUCCUACGGGAGGCAGCAGUGAGGAAUAUUGCGCAAUGGGGGCAACCCUGACGCAGCGACGCCGCGUGAAGUGAGGAAGGCCUUCGGGUCGUAAAGCUCUGUCAAAGGGAAAGAAGUGCAUGGUGGUUAAUACCUGCCAUGUUUGACGGUACCCUUAAAGGAAGCACCGGCUAACUCCGUGCCAGCCGCGGC